rnacentral:lncRNA from 1 species
UGACUCUUUCAUGUUUUACCUUUGCUUGCAACAGAUCCUGAUGUAACACCUGGUAUUCAUGAAAACAUUUCUAAGGAAAAGACCUAGGUCAGUUGUGACCAGAAAUCAAUCCGGUUGAUGGCUGAGCACAGCGCGUGAGGACGUGAGAAGAGGGCGGGCGCCCGUGCAGGUGAGCAUCUUCCAAACACGCCUCAGGGGCCCUGCCUGGCUCGCAGCCUCCCUGGAGGCUGGACGCGAGCGGAGAGGCGCCAUCUCUGUGGACGCAGCUCUGCUGUCCUCAUGGGCCCCACUCCCCCUCCUCUUUCCACCUGUUGUCAGAGCAACACGUCGUCCUUCUGAAUGCACAGCCUAAUGGACUAAUAACAUUAUUCUCUAAAGCAUAUGUCACUAAUUUAAAACAAUAACAAUCAAAACAGGUAAAGAGGCGCAUAAUCCAUUUUAUCUGAAACAACUCAGCAUACCAAUGACUCCAUCAUCUCGGCUCUGUUAGAAAAGAUGUGUUUGUUAAUAUGGGCGGAUUUAGAAACACUGCCAUGUGGACAUGCAGUAUUGAAGUUGCUGUAGCUCAUACAUUUGUAGAGUGUUUUGUUUCCUUCAGAAAGCUUUCAGAGUGAGGGUAUGAGACAAAAGCCAGCAGGAGAACUUCUGGACGGCUUGGUCGUGCCUGAGGUUGAAAUUUCUCCCCAUCCUCCCACUCUGGCCUCCUCUCUCACUUUUCUCUUCCUUUUACACACACUUCUCCUGAAGAGCUGGCUGCACAUUUGCACACUUAUGUCACAAUCAGAGCAGGUUAUCCUCUCUGUGUCAAAUCUAGGAGCUUUAAACAAACAAAAUAACUUCCCAAAGAGGAAUAAAGAAAAUGACUGCCCUGCUACAGCCCAAACUGUGCUACACAUGAUCAGUGCACACCAGCCAGAGGGCAGAGGUUCAAACUUUGCACCAGGGUGAAAAGAACACAGCUCUUCUCUUUGACCUUCCAGGCAGCUGAAAAUCUUGCCUCUGCUUGGAGCCCCCGCCUCCUGCCACUAGCAUCCCCCUUCUUACAGCUCAUCUGAGAGCACCUAAGAGUAUCUUUCAACAUAUGAGUAAAGCAAG